rnacentral:rRNA from 1 species
CGAGCACGCGCGUGUGGCAUAUCAAUAAGCGGAGGAAAAGAAACUAACUAGGAUUCCCUCAGUAACGGCGAGUGAAGCGGGAAGAGCUCAAAUUUGAAAUCUUCAAGGUUCUACCUUGACGAAUUGUAGUUUAAAGAAGUGUUUUCUGUUGGAGUUUUGGUAAAAGUUCUUUGGAAUAGGACAUCAUAGAGGGUGAGAAUCCCGUAUUUGACCAUUAUUUCCAACUUUGUGAUACACUUUCAAAGAGUCGGAUUGUUUGGGAAUGCAGUCCAAAAUGGGUGGUAAAUUUCAUCUAAAGCUAAAUACUGGCGAGAGACCGAUAGCGAACAAGUGCCGUGAGGGAAAGAUGAAAAGAACUUUGAAAAGAGAGUUAAACAGUACGUGAAAUUGUCAAAAGGGAAGCGUUUGACACCAGUGUUGUUUUCUCGAAAAUCAAUUAAAAAUGGCAGGAUUUUGUGUUGUAUUGACUUUAUCAGCUUUCUAGCACUUUUUUUCUUGUCUUUUUUAAUGCACUUUUCGUUUAACAAGUCAACAUCAAUUUCUUUUGUUGUAAAAGGGUCAUUGGAAGGUGGCUUUCUUUUCGGAGAAAGUGUUUAUAGCCUUUGGCUUCUGCAAUCGGAGAGAUUGAGGUCUGCAGCGUAGAUCCUUCGGGGUUAGAUACAUUUGUGCUAAGUUAUAGCCUUUCAUAGACAACUUGUUGACUAUGAUCAGUCAUGUAGCUUACUCGCUUAUGCUAUUUUACCUACGCUUAGGAUGUUGAGUCAUCACACAUCUCU